rnacentral:rRNA from 1 species
UACAUAAAUAAUUACCGUAAACUCUUAUUUUUUAUCAGAACAACAUCUAAUACAUACUUUAAAGCAGGGGUAUUGCCUUUCUGGUCCUUUCGUACUAAAAAAAGCUAAUUUUAAUC